CUACCCUUGACAUGUCCGGAACCCUGCUGAGAGGUGGGGGUGCCCGAAAGGGAAUCGGAACACAGGUGCUGCAUGGCUGUCGUCAGCUCGUGUCGUGAGAUGUUGGGUUAAGUCCCGCAACGAGCGCAACCCUUGUCCCUAGUUGCUCCGCAAGGGCACUCUAGGGAGACUGCCGGUGACAAACCAGAGUAAAAUGGGGAUGACGUCAAAUCCUCAUGGCCCUUAUGGGUAGGGCUUCACACGUCAUACAAUGGCCGGUACAGAGGGCAGCCAACCCGUGAGGGGGAGCCAAUCCCAGAAAGCCGGUCGUAGUCCGGAUUGCAGUCUGCAACUCGACUGCAUGAAGUCGGAAUCGCUAGUAAUCGCGGAUCAGCAUGCCGCGGUGAAUA
rnacentral:rRNA from 1 species